AAUACGUUCCCGGGCCUUGUACACACCGCCCGUCACACCUACGAAAGUCGGCAACACCCGAAGCCGGUGGCCUAACCCGUAAGGGGAGGAGCCGUCGAAGGUGGGGUCGGUGAUUGGGGUG
rnacentral:rRNA from 1 species